CCCCUUGCCCUCCUUCAUUUGUGUCCUCUCCCGAGCCAUCUGCUAUGGAAGUCCAGGGCUAUUGAUUAGAAUCAUUGUGCUGCGGACCCCAUGCUAAUCUAUACCGUUAGUGGCCAUCGGUUUGCGCUUUGCAUUGCAUCUGUCCCUGCGCCGCCAUCUCCAUGACCUAGCAGUUUUGAGUCUGUGUACCGUACAGCGGAGAUGUUCGAAUUACAGAGCAAGACCAGUACACAUGCUCCUGACUGACCAAACAGCAACCACAGGAUGGACCUUCAUACUGGAGCUUA